UGGCGGACGGGUGAGUAACACGUGAGCAACCUGCCUUUCAGAGGGGGAUAACGGCUGGAAACGGUCGCUAAUACCGCAUGAUGUGUUCGGAUGGCAUCAUCUGAACAUCAAAGAUUUAUCGCUGAAAGAUGGGCUCGCGUCUGAUUAGAUAGUUGGUGGGGUAACGGCCUACCAAGUCUACGAUCAGUAGCCGGACUGAGAGGUUGAACGGCCACAUUGGGACUGAGAUACGGCCCAGACUCCUACGGGAGGCAGCAGUGGGGAAUAUUGCACAAUGGGGGAAACCCUGAUGCAGCAACGCCGCGUGAAGGAUGACGGUUUUCGGAUUGU
rnacentral:rRNA from 1 species